rnacentral:rRNA from 1 species
UACGUAGGGACCGAGCGUUGUCCGGAUUCAUUGGGCGUAAAGAGCUCGUAGGCGGCCACUCAAGUCGAAUGUGAAACCUCGAGGCUUAACCUCGAGCCUGCAUUCGAUACUGGGCGGCUAAAGUCUGGUAGGGGGAUCUGGAAUUCCUGGUGUAGCGGUGGAAUGCGCAGAUAUCAGGAGGAACACCGGUGGCGAAGGCGGGUCUCUGGGCCGAUACUGACGCUGAGGAGCGAAAGCGUGGGGAGCGAACAGG